GUACGGGAGGCAGCAGUGGGGAAUAUUGGACAAUGGGGGAAACCCUGAUCCAGCAAUGCCGCGUGUGCGAUGAAGGCCUGCGGGUUGUAAAGCACUUUCGGUGGGGAAGAAAUUCUCAAAUAAAUAAAUUUGAGAGCUGACAUUACCUACAGAAGAAGCACCGGCAAACUCUGUGCCAGCAGCCGCGGUAAUACAGAGGGUGCAAGCGUUAAUCGGAGUUACUGGGCGUAAAGGGCGCGUAGGCUGAUAUUUUAGUCGAUUGUGAAAUACCUGGGCUUAACCUGGGAAUUGCAGUCGAUACUGAAUAUCUAGAGUAUGGUAGAGGAAAGUGGAAUUCUCGGUGUAGUGGUUAAAUACGUAGAUAUCGAGAAGAACAUCGGUGGCGAAGGCGACUUUCUGGGCCAAUACUGACGCUGAGGCGCGAAAGCGUGGGGAGCAAACAGGAUUAGAUACCCGUGUAC
rnacentral:rRNA from 1 species